AGCAGCCGCGGUAAUUCCAGCUCCAAUAGCGUAUAUUAAAGUUGUUGCAGUUAAAAAGCUCGUAGUUGAAUUUUGGGUCUGGCCGGGCGGUCCGCCCUCUGGGUGAGCACUGUUCCGACGCCGGGCCUAUCCUUCUGGUGAGUCGGCAUGUCCUUUGUUGGGUGUGUCGGGGAACCAGGACCAUUACCUUGAAAAAUUAGAGUGUUCAAAGCAGACGUAUGCUCGGAUACAUUAGCAUGGAAUAAUGAAAUAGGACGCGUGGUGCUAUUUUGUUGGUUUCUAGAACCGCCGUAAUGAUUAAUAGGGAUAGUUGGGGGCAUUAGUAUUCAAUUGUCAGAGGUGAAAUUCUUGGAUUUAUUGAAGACUAACUUCUGCGAAAGCAUUUGCCAAGGAUGUUUUCAUUAAUCAAGAACGAAAGUUAGGGGAUCGAAGACGAUCAGAUACCGUCGUAGUCUUAACCAUAAACUAUGCCGACUAGGAAUCGGGUGAUGUUAUUCUCAUGACUCG
rnacentral:rRNA from 1 species